rnacentral:rRNA from 1 species
UACGUAGGGUGCAAGCGUUAAUCGGAAUUACUGGGCGUAAAGCGUGCGCAGGCGGCUAUGCAAGACAGAUGUGAAAUCCCCGGGCUCAACCUGGGAACUGCAUUUGUGACUGCAUAGCUAGAGUACGGUAGAGGGGGAUGGAAUUCCGCGUGUAGCAGUGAAAUGCGUAGAUAUGCGGAGGAACACCGAUGGCGAAGGCAACCCCCUGGACCUGUACUGACGCUCAUGCACGAAAGCGUGGGGAGCAAACAGG